GCCCACAAAAAUGUAAGCCCUAAAAAUACAAUGCAUUAAAAUGCAAGCACGGUUAAUGCAAUGCACAUUUUUUUCAAUUAGUGCUCACGUUGCUAUCUCUGUUUAAACUAAACUCAUUUAAACCUUUCCAAUUUAAACAUUCAACCGUAAAACGCGAAAGAGAACUCACACACGCUGUGAGGAGAUUUGUGUGUGUACUCAUCCGAAGCGCGUACACAGAAAGCCGCGUCACAGUGCGCAAAUACUCUCACGCAAAUUCUCUUUCAAGUCUUGCACCUGAACGGACAAAUUCACACAAUUAUGUCAGCAUGCCCAUCUUAGCGAGUAUCCUAACAAACAUAGUAGGUUAUGUCUUAAGAAAAAAACGAGACACACAACGCAUGUGUAUAAGUGUAUAGGAUCUUUGAAUUAUGUCUUAAAGUGACAGAAGUCUAAAAUUCCUGCUCUCUGUGUUUUAAUGUUAAUCAAAUUACAAAAGACAAAGAAAUCACUCAUUGCUACUGACUGAAUAGCUUUUGUAACUUCAAUAAUGUUUAAUCUUUAUUUAAUUUAUUCAAUGAAGUUUAUAUGCAGUGUUAUUUUAUAUUUGAUUACUUUAUUCAAUUUCUGUACAUGAAAACGACUGUUAGAUACCUGAAAAACCUGUAAAACAUUUAUUUUAUUUGUAUCUUAGCUCUCAUGUAUUUAUUUGUGCUGUUUCUUGUAGUUAGAUUAUUUGUAUUUAUUUUCUUUAUUUUUAUUUGACAUAGCACAUACCGAACCAUACCGAAACCUUGACCCUAAAACCAUGAUAAAAAUCGAAUCGUGACUAAUCCAAACUGUUCCACCCCUAAUAGAUAGAUAGAUAGAUAGAUAGAUAGAUAGAUAAAUAGAUAGAUAAAUAUUUUGUAUAUAUUUUUCUAUGUAUAUAUUUUAAUGUAUAUCCAGGUGAAACAGUUUCUGAAACAAAGGACGGGGCUUGAUUUUAUCAGUGGGGAAGUGACAGGUUGUCCCGCCAUCUUGCCAGUAAACACAUCAUUAGAGAACACUCUAAAAGUAAUUCAGUGGCUUAGUAAACAUCACAGUAAUAAUUAACUUUAUUAACUUAAUAAAAUCUCUGAAUAUCAUUUACUUGAUGGUUUUAGUUGAACACACCAAAAUAAUUGACUAAAAAUCCAACAGUUAAUUUUGUCUAAGAUUUACAGUUAUAUUUAAGUUUUUGGGUUGUUGUGUUUUUUUUUUUUUUUUUUUUUUUUUUUCACUAAAAGAAUUUAGUAUUUUACUAACAAAUUAUUUAAAAAAAUAUAUAUACUUAAUAUAUUUGUGAAAAUCAAAAUUUUGCGAAUGGAGAAUUAAACUGAUCUGUUUCAAGAACCACAAAAAUUACUUAAUUCAAAUCAAUAUUAUUAAUUUUUAACACACACUAAAGAAAUUGAGUAAGUUUACUCAAUUAAAACAUUGCACCCCUCCCCCACCCUCCGACGUGACAACAACUCAACGGUUAAGUGAGCGCGGGCUGUUUGAAUCCUUUUCCAGUCUCCAGAGCAGUUCUCCCUUCUCAGCGUUGCAGAAUUGGUGCAUUUCCUCUGUGAAAUUCAGGUUAUGGAGUCGCGUCACAGCAUCUUUUGGUACGAGUGAAAUGCAGAACGGCGGUCUGAAGUUAGUUCACCCGCAGAGGGCGAGUCCAUCUCACGAGCGAGAACCUAUGCUAAUUCGGUGGAAAUGGGAUAACAGACCAGUUGAUUACACAUAAAUUACCUUUAAAUGUUUAAUUUUUAUUUCUAAAAUGUUUGUAACAUGAUUUUUAAUGUAGGUCAUAUUGUAUACAUGUUAAAAUAGCAUACAUACCUGCAAACUUGUCUUCGCCGUUUUAAAUCAAAAUAUGGGGAAUUGCAAAUUGCAAUAAACCUCACAAGAAUCAAAAAUGGGCUAUACAUUCCCAAACACUGGAGUGAGACCAUAGAUGUCUCUCAAGGUGUCGCGAUCUUUCUUGGCGCUCUGUGGCGUGACAGAUUGCUGUAAGGCUUCAGUUCAAGCAGAGCGCACGUGAACCGACCAUCUCUUCCACUUUACUAGUUACAACACAAAAUAAACAUGAAUGAACAUCCGAAGGUAUAUUGAAAGAUACAGUACAACUUGCCAAAAUCCGUAUUAUGUCACAUGUAAUCGAUGUAAUCUGUUUCAACUGUGGAAAGGCGUCAAUAAAACAGCUUGUAAAAAUGUCACAUUUACCAUCACAUUUACCUCAGAAAAGCUGUUCAAUGUCCAAAAACACAUUAGUCAGCUACAAAAAUGAACUUAGAGAGGAGCAUUUUGCUAAAUAUAUGAUGCCCCCAGACCACCCUACAAUAAUUUUGUUCAGAAACAUGUCACCUUUUUCCCCUCUUUUGAGUUUGCAGGUAUGAGUAUAAAAUAUGCUGUAUUGCUGUACUUGUCAACAAUAAAGGCUAAUGUCAUGUA